UACGGAGGGUGCAAGCGUUAUCCGGAUUUACUGGGUUUAAAGGGUGUGUAGGCGGGCUAUUAAGUCAGUGGUGAAUCUCCGGCGUCACCACGGAAACUGCCAUUGAUACUAUUAGUCUUGAAUUUUGUUGAGGUAGGCGGAAUAAGUCAUGUAGCGGUGAAAUGCAUAGAUAUGACUUAGAACACCAAUUGCGAAGGCAGCUUACUAAGCAAAUAUUGACGCUGAGGCACGAAAGCGUGGGGAUCAAACAGG
rnacentral:rRNA from 1 species